rnacentral:rRNA from 1 species
UUAGCGGCGGACGGGUGAGUAACACGUGGAUAACCUACCUAUAAGACUGGGAUAACUUCGGGAAACCGGAGCUAAUACCGGAUAACAUGUUGAACCGCAUGGUUCAACAGUGAAAGACGGUCUUGCUGUCACUUAUAGAUGGAUCCGCGCCGCAUUAGCUAGUUGGUAAGGUAACGGCUUACCAAGGCAACGAUGCGUAGCCGACCUGAGAGGGUGAUCGGCCACACUGGAACUGAGACACGG